CAUGCCGCGUGUGUGAAGAAGGCUUUCGGGUUGUAAAGCACUUUCAGUGAGGAAGAACGCCUUGGGGCUAAUACCCCCGAGGAAGGACAUCACUCACAGAAGAAGCACCGGCUAACUCCGUGCCAGCAACGUCGGUGACUGAGCGGGCUGGCAAGGCGCAUA
rnacentral:rRNA from 1 species